ACCUCCAGAGGUUCCUUCCAACUUCAGCCAUUCUGUGAUUAUGCGAUGUUAAUGUGACAGAAAUAGCAGCAAUGCUCAACUGACAAAUAUCCAUGGGAUUUGUGGUAUCUUGCUUCCCUCUCAAACCAGCCAUGUUACUUUAAUUGUAAAACACAGUACAGCACCAACAAUGGACCUUUCAUGGGAUCCCCAUUUCUUAUGGAGUGCUUGAAGUAUGAAAGUCUCUAUUCAGAGCUGUCUGCCUUGCUACAAUAUCUUCUACGGACAGGUACACAAAAUGCAUAGAAAAUAGUCUGGCAGUGGAGGAAUGCAGCAUGCAGAAGAUUCAUGUUCAGUCUCCAGGUCUGCUUUUCCAAGAAAUCUGCUCCAACCACCAACUCCGCAGUGAUUUUCCUAAACUAGAGAGGAAUUAGGAUUUUUUGUCUUUGUGUAUUUUGCAUAAAUUCUCUCCAAUGAAGUCAUGAAGUUGAGUACUGAAUACCCAACAUCCCAAAUACAAUACUCAUUGGAUUGUGGUGAUUUUUCUCAAACCUAUAUGUCUGUGGACUUAGGCGAAGAAGAAAAAACUCAGGCCUGAUACCUAAAUAAGGCCAAAGAGAAUCCUAAAUUUUCUUUGCAUCUCUCAAGAGAGUUUCAUGAUCACAAGGCUAUUACCAAUUAACCUUCUCGCUCUCUCUGAGUUUUAGUCUUCAGUAAAAGCUCUGAUGAACUAUUACUGAAAGUGAAUAUACAGUGAAUGAGUAUUUUUCAACUUUAAAAUUGUUUCCCUAAAAAAUUCCCAGUUAGCUGCACUCCCAGGUGUGUUGCAUUAAUUUUUAAGGGUAGAGAUACAGCAGAAGAUCUGAGGUUAUAACCAAGUAGAAUGCAGGAUUUGUAGUUAAUGAGAAAAAAAUAUUUACUUUUUCUUUUCAAACUGGGAUAAGAGAUGCAGUAAUGCUCCUUAUACAUAUGUUACACGUUCCUUAUAAAUAAUUGACAGAUAAUUAACAAUAAGGAUUUUUUUUCUUAAUAAAAGAAAGUUAUUCUCUCUCAUUAGCUUAGAGUUGCUGAAACGUUGUAAAUUCAAAUUGCAGAUUAAAAUAAAAUAAACCCCUUUUAUGGUAAAGCCCUUAAUUUUUACAACUUCUCUGUGAUAUCAACAAAUGUAAUGGGGAAAAUUCAUGGUAAAUACAUGUGGGACCACGAAUUUGCAUUUCAGAAUAAAAACGAUAAACAAUAACCUUAAAGUAAGCUUAUGCAAGUCAUUAGAGUAUAGCAUUAGUUCACUUAUAAGUUAAGCAAACAUAUUUUUAACUGUGUUGCAAAUUUGACCAAGGAUAUAUAAAACAGGUACAUUUAGGUCAAGUGAAAUAUUUGUGCAGGUUAGAAACACCACAUGAAAAAUGUAAAUGCAACAGUUGAAGAAAAUUUGUGUGUUCCCCAUAUUGUCCUAUAGUCCAUGUUUUCAUAAAUUCUGUACAUCUCUAAUAAAGUUAUUAUUUUGUACAUCAGCUUUCCCAGAAAGAAAGACUUGCUUGUAUCUUAGAGCAUCACAUCUACGACUUUACUACCAUCUCAAAUACAUCCAGCAGCAACAUUUUAAAUAAUUUUUUCUUCCUUUUUAUUUUUUCCUCCAAAUUUUUCCAUAACAUAAUCACAGUCUGUUUUUAGCAAAGAGACAGGUCUAUGUUUUGUGUUAAAUUCCAGAUCUUAUCUCCCUUGGUAGGAAUUUAUGCUAUUUACAUUCUGUCACAAAAGUCUGUCCUCUCCUGCAACUCCUCUGAGUCUGAACUCUGAGUUCUUGGGUGUCCUAAUCUCUCUGCACAGCUGGUGUUUAAUGAUCACGAGGGAGAAGGUGAUUUCUGCAUUGUCCUGACAAUGCCUGCCUGGGAGCAGUGAAGAUUCAUGCCUGCCCUCAAAGUCUGCGUCCUUUUCUGCGGCAGCUGUGCUCCUUCAGUCAAUCAUAGUGUCACUGUCUUGGCAAGUUUCUCAGAGUAUUUCCUUCCCCUGCUGCCACAUUCACCUUCUUUGAAUUUACUCCUGGGACAAAGGAGGCUAUAAGUGCAUGAGUUUGGAAGGAGGGUAACUGCAUUAUCGUCCCCUAACUUUCAUCUCUCUCUCCUUUUCUUUUUCCGACCUGCUCUAUCUGCAGACCCCAACACUCAGAGGACAUGUCUUCUGAGCAGCACAGGGGAUAGAUGGUGUCAUAUCUCACACUCUUCCGUGACAUUAAUGUCAUAACAGUCAUUUAUAGCAUUUCUCAGUGGAAAGCUACCAGAUAUGGAACUCUUCCAGCCACAAGAAUUUGCUGACCGCAUGGGAAAAGGAUCUGGCUUUGGUUGGAGUUUCCCAUUACAUGAAGUUGAUUGCCCAGAACAAAUACGAUCAUGCUGUAACCCUUACAUGGUACUCAGUCUCAAGACAAUUUAGUUAUUUAACAAAUGUCCUCCAACAGGCAUGAUGUGCAGUGCAGCAGGAAUGACAGUUAUUUCCUGCAGUGAGUAUGAGGCUGCGGAUGAUGCCCCUGUAGCAGCAAAACAGUGGAAUAUGGGAGAUGGUAGGCUCCAUGGCAGCUGGGUGGGACAGCUGGACUGUGAGACAGGAAGGACUGAAAAGAAUGGAAAAACAGCAGCAGCAGCAGCAAAAUAGCAGGCAACAAACUGAGAGCGAGGAAGAAUUAUGGUAAAAUUGUUGAAAGAGUGUGAGGAGACCAGUGGGCCUGAUGCUGACACUGGCAGACAAAACAGCUAAGAGUGCUGCUACCAACAACAUGUGCUUGCAGCAGUGCACCGUGGUGAAUGGAUUCUGGUCCAUCAGCCAGGAUUGCUGUAGUGCGGCAGUGGCAGGUGCCAAAGAAAAUCAAAUGCCUGUUUUCUAGUAGUCUAAGAGCUGCUCAGGCUGGUGGCUGUAUGCAGGCACUAUUGCACCCUUGUGUGGUGCUGCUUAGUUGUCACCGUGUCAUAAAAUUCUGCUGUGAGAACAGGGUAGCCCUCAGUAACAGGUUUUGCUUUCUAUGCUCCAAAUGUCAGCAAUCCUUGCAUGCAAAGGGCAGUGAGGCUCCCUUGUGAGAAAACAGAGUGCAGGAGCCUACCAGCAGUAGCUGUGCCCUGAAAUGCCAGUCUAGGGAUGUCCUGGGUAGGUCUUUCCCGAUUUCUUCAGAUCAAAACAUUAGCAACCAGUGCUUGAAAACAAAGAAAGAAACAAAACAUAGGGACUAGAGGUCUGGAAACACCCGAUUAGACAACAGUUUAAAAUCAGAGUGCUGAAGAAACAAUGCAAUAAUGGGAGUCCUAAAAGGACACGGAAAGCCCCUGAAAACAUAAGGAAGAUACAG